AAAGCCUGACGCAGCGACGCCGCGUGGGGGAGGAAGCCCUUCGGGGUGUAAACCCCUGUCGUCCGGGACGAAGGUCGGGGGUGAGGAGCCCUCGGCUGACGGUACCGGAAGAGGAAGCCCCGGCUAACUACGUGCCAGCAGCCGCGGUAAGACGUAGGGGGCGAGCGUUGUCCGGAAUCACUGGGCGUAAAGGGCGCGUAGGCGGCCUGGCAAGUCGGAUGUGAAAGGCCCCGGCUCAACCGGGGAGGUGCAUUCGAAACUGCCGGGCUUGAGGGCAGGAGAGGGCAGCGGAAUUCCCGGUGGAGCGGUGAAAUGCGUAGAGAUCGGGAGGAACACCAGUGGCGAAGGCGGCUGCCUGGUCUGGCCCUGACGCUGAGGCGCGACAGCGUGGGGAGCGAACGGGAUUAGAUACCCCGGUAGUCCACGCCGUAAACGAUGGGUGCUAGGUGUGGGAGGUAUCGACCCCUUCCGUGCCGGAGCUAACGCACUAAGCACCCCGCCUGGGGAGUACGGCCGCAAGGCUGAAACUCAAAGGAAUUGACGGGGGCCCGCACAAGCGGUGGAGCAUGUGGUUUAAUUCGAAGCUACGCGAAGAACCUUACCUGGGCUUGACAUCACCGCGAACCUGGCCGAAAGGCUGGGGUGCCCCUUUGGGGAGCGCGGUGACAGGUGCUGCAUGGUUGUCGUCAGCUCGUGUCGUGAGAUGUUGGGUUAAGUCCCGCAACGAGCGCAACCCCCGCCCUGUGUUGCCAGCGGUUCGGCCGGGCACUCACAGGGGACUGCCGGUGACAAACCGGAGGAAGGUGGGGAUGACGUCAAAUCAUCAUGGCCCUUAUGCCCAGGGCUACACACGUGCUACAAUGGCCGGUACAACGGGUUGCGAACCCGCGAGGGGGAGCCAAUCCCUAAAAGCCGGUCCCAGUUCGGAUCGCAGGCUGCAACUCGCCUGCGUGAAGCCGGAAUCGC
rnacentral:rRNA from 1 species